rnacentral:rRNA from 1 species
UGCCAGACUCCUACGGGAGGCAGCAGUGAGGAAUAUUGGUCAAUGGGCGGGAGCCUGAACCAGCCAAGUCGCGUGAGGGAUGACGGCCCUAUGGGUUGUAAACCUCUUUUGCCGGGGAGCAAAGUGCCGCACGUGUGCGGUUUGGAGAGUACCCGGAGAAAAAGCAUCGGCUAACUCCGUGCCAGCAGCCGCGGUAAUACGGGGGGUGCAAGCGUUGUCCGGAAUCAUUGGGCGUAAAGCGUUCGUAGGCGGUAUGUCAAGUCUGAUGUUAAAGCCCGGGGCUCAACUCCGGUUCGGCAUUGGAUACUGGCAAACUAGAAUGUGGUAGAGGUAAAGGGAAUUCCUGGUGUAGCGGUGAAAUGCGUAGAUAUCAGGAGGAACAUCGGUGGCGAAAGCGCUUUACUGGACCAUUAUUGACGCUGAGGAACGAAAGCCAGGGGAGCAAAUGGGAUUAGAUACCCCCGUAG